rnacentral:sRNA from 1 species
AGGUUUCAGCGUUUACCGGAUGCCAAAAAUCAAUUCUGACAGUAAGAUAUGUGCCCAGUUGUCCUAAAAACGAAGUGUCUUGGAAAGAGGCAGCGAGAAAAAUGAACUGUGGAUCAGUAACACAAAACUGUGCAUCAAAAAGUCACAAAUUUCAGUAUCAUUGUCUCAUGAGUUUCCAUAUGAAUGCGACUGUUGAAGUUUGCGCACUUAGUCGAACCAUUUUUGGUUACUGUGCGGAAUUCGAUAUAAACGCGGCAGUGGUACAAGAAAACUAUAAUGCAGACUGCAAAACACACGAUCCUUCCUGCCCGGAAUAUUAUGACUCAUCGGAAGCUUACAAAUGCAAACCAAUCCUGUUAUGCAUUGGUUCAAAGAAAGUCCCAAGCCGAUGUCAUCAAACCUGCUGCUCUUAUAGGAUCCAGUUCUUCUUCGAAUAG